UCAUGUCAUAAAUAAUGGCCGGUUACUAAAAAUAACAAUUUAAAACCUAAAGAACUUGGCGGUGUCUUAUCAUACCAGGGGAACCUGUUCCUUAAUUCGAUAAUCCACGAAACCACUACCACUAAUUGAAUAUACAGCUUGUAUACUGCCGUCAUCAGCAUACCUUAAAAAGAUAUAGUAUGCAAUAAUAAAUUAAAUUAAUUAUGUCAGGUCAUAGUACAGCCUAUUUAGUGGAGGAAAUGGGUUACAAUCAUUAUAUAGAUUACCAAAAAUAAGACUAAAGUCUUAUCAAAAGGUGGACUUGGCAGUAAUGAUAUUAUAGAAUAUUAUCAUGAAAAAAGAUCUAAGACAUGCACACAUCGCCCGUCACUCCCCUCUAAAGAGG
rnacentral:rRNA from 1 species